GCCAGCAGCUGUAUCAGCCUGCAACUCCCAGCUCACAGCCCACUGGAGCUCAGCAGGUGUGACCCUGGACAGUACCUGGAUGGAAGACCUCCUGAGAAAGCUAAGGUUGCUGCUGGAA
rnacentral:rRNA from 1 species